rnacentral:tRNA from 1 species
GAUGUGGUCUAGUGGUUAGGAUACCCGCCUCUCAUCUACCGAGAGACUUCCCCAGAACGCGGGUGGCCGGGGUUCGAUGUACGUUGCGCCCCAUCCCAACAUCUCCC